AUUGAACGCUGGCGGCAGGCUUAACACAUGCAAGUCGAGCGAGCGGCGGACUGGUGAGCAAUGUCUGGGAAACUGCCUGAUGGAGGGGGAUAACUAUUGGAAACGGUAGCUAAUACCGCAUACCAUCAUAUGUGCCCAGAGGGGAUUAGCUAGGAGGUGGGGUAAUGGCUCACCUAGGCGACGAUCCCUAGCUGGUCUGAGAGGAUGCCCAGCCACACUGGGACUGAGACACGGUCCAGACUCCUACGGGAGGCAGCAGUGGGGAAUAUUGCGCAAUGGGCGCAAGCCUGAUGCAGCCAUGCCGCGUGUGUGAAGAAGGCCUUCGGGUUGUAAAGCACUGUCAGCGGGGAGGCGUUACUCACAGAAGAAGCACCGGCUAACUCCGUGCCAGCCGCCGCGGUAAUUC
rnacentral:rRNA from 1 species